GACGAACCGUGCGAACGUUAUUCGGAAUCACUGGGCUUAAAGCGCGUGUAGGCGGGAGGGCACGUCCGUUGCUGAAAUCCCCCGGCUUAACCGGGGAAGGGGCGCCGAUACGGCCUUCCUGGAGGGACGUAGGGGGAGCUGGAACUUCCGGUGGAGCGGUGAAAUGCGUUGAGAUCGGAAGGAACGCCCGCGGCGAAAGCGAGCUCCUGGACGUCUGCUGACGCUGAGACGCGAAAGCCAGGGGAGAGCGAACGGGAUAGAA
rnacentral:rRNA from 1 species